rnacentral:rRNA from 1 species
CCUCCUUCGGGAGAAAGAAGGCCUCUCUUUGAAGCUUUCGCUAUUAGAUGAGCCUGCGUAAGAUUAGCUUGUUGGUGAGGUAAAGGCUCACCAAGGCGACGAUCUUUAGCGGGUCUGAGAGGACGAUCCGCCACAUUGGGACUGAGACACGGCCCAGACUCCUACGGGAGGCAGCAGUGGGGAAUAUUGGACAAUGGGCGCAAGCCUGAUCCAGCCAUACCGCGUGUGUGAAGAAGGCCCUAGGGUUGUAAAGCACUUUAAGUUGGGAAGAAAAGUUAUUGGUUAAUACCCAAUAACCGUGACAUUACCUUCAGAAUAAGGACCGGCUAAUUCCGUGCCAGCAGCCGCGGUAAUACGGAAGGUCCAAGCGUUAAUCGGAAUUACUGGGCGUAAAGCGCGCGUAGGUGGUUUAUUAAGUUGGAUGUGAAAUCCCCGGGCUCAACCUGGGAACUGCAUCCAAAACUGAUUCACUAGAGUACGAUAGAGGGAGGUAGAAUUCACAGUGUAGCGGUGGAAUGCGUAGAUAUUGUGAAGAAUACCAAUGGCGAAGGCAGCCUCCUGGAUCUGUACUGACACUAAGGUGCGAAAGCGUGGGUAGCGAACAGGAUUAGAUACCCUGGUAGUCCACGCCGUAAACGAUGUCAACUAGCUGUUGGGAAACAAUGUUUCUCAGUGGCGCAGCUAACGUAGUAAGUG